AACGAACGCUGGCGGCAUGCCUAACACAUGCAAGUCGAACGAGACCUUCGGGUCUAGUGGCGCACGGGUGCGUAACGCGUGGGAACCUGCCCUUAGGUUCGGAAUAACUCCCCGAAAGGGGUGCUAAUACCGGAUAAUGUCUUCGGACCAAAGAUUUAUCGCCUUUGGAUGGGCCCGCGUUGGUUUAGCGAGUUGGUAGGGUAAAAGCCUACCAAGGCGACGAUCCAUAGCUGGUCUGAGAGGAUGAUCAGCCACACUGGGACUGAGACACGGACCAGACUCCUACGGGAGGGAGCAGUGGGGAAUAUUGGACAAUGGGCGAAAGCCUGAUACAGCCAUGCGGCGUGAGUGAUGAAGGCCUUAGGGUUGUAAAGCUCUUUUAGCCGAGAUGAUAAUGACAGUACCGGGAGAAUAAGCUCCGGCUAACUACGUG
rnacentral:rRNA from 1 species